AAAAUGGCAUGGCCUUGUAAUACGAGGCUUUUGCUCAUGUACAAAUUUGAAGGCUUCUAGAACUCUCAUGUCAUUACCCAAUGCAAAAUCAUCCAAACCCUCAUGUCCUCUAUCCUCUGCCGACUCAAUAUCAACAACCCUCAAAUCACCCAUAAAAUAAUCAACCCCUACGGAAUUAAUGGGUGUUAUGAUCUAAUGUGUGGUGGCAGUGGGUGUUAUGAUCUGAUGUGGUGUUUGCUUAUGGGUGUAAUGGUUUGGGGGUUUUUGGAUCUUGGAGGUUAGCUCGCCAGAAUCUGGGUUCAGACUUGUUUACGUCAUACGGUUCCAAUGGUAAUGGAUUUGGGGUCUUACGAUUUUACGGAUGGGUCUUGUGCCUUGCUUAUGUUGUUCCGUGUGUGCUUCCCGAUCUGGGUUCAUGUUUGAUUAUUGCAUAUUUUUGUUUAUGUUCAGAUCCAUUCUUUUGGGUUUUUAGUGCUUUCAGUCUAUGUUUGUAUGUUUUGCUGCUUAUUUAAUUUUACUUAGGCAGAUGGGUCUCUUUUCCUUGUUACCGUCCUUUAACAAUUCAUAUGUAUUGUGGGUUGUUGCUGGUUUGUAGGGGAUUUUGCUAGAAAUGGUCUGAGUUUAUUGACCUUUGGUCGGAAUUCAUGGGGUUUUUCCCGGUUGUUCCCUUCUGAUUCAUGAGCUUUCAUUAUUUUAGCUUUUAUGAUUGAAUCAAUUUGGGUGUUUUUGAUUGAAUUUUAUCUGCUCUGUCCUUGGCUGGUUCUACUGCCAGAGGGUUGUGCUCGCUGGUGGUUGGGCUAGUUUUGGGGCAGUGUGUUGCAGAUGGGGCCCACGUAUGACAAGGCUAUGUCAUUUUCUCUUGUUUUUUUUUUUAAGUCCACAUCAGAUAAUAGCUGAAAAGAUUUAACGUCCGUGAGUCAGAUUUAACAUAAUGGCCCAAUUUAACAAUAAUGAUUAGUUCAGUUGGGUAAUUUGAAAAAUUAAAAAUUCAAUCAUGUAUUUAAUAAAACGUGCCAACUUCGGUGGCCAAAUCAAUAGUUUUGUCAAAUAUAUAUAUAUAUUCGCCUAUGAUGAUAGUUUUUUGGGCUAUGACGAUGGUUCAACCGUCGUCAUAGAUAUUAUUUCUCUGACGACGGUUAAACUGUUGUUAUAGCCCAAAAAUUUGUUAUCAUAGACAACUGUGUACUACAUAGCUAUGUAUAUACAUAUAGUCCAUAAUAUUAUAUAUAAAAUUACAAAUUUAAAGUAGAG
rnacentral:lncRNA from 1 species